rnacentral:rRNA from 1 species
AGAGUUUGAUCAUGGCUCAGAAUCAACGCUGGCGGCGCGCUUAACACAUGCAAGUCGAGCGAGAAAGUGGAGCAAUCCAUGAGUAAAGCGGCGUACGGGUGAGUAACACGUGGAUCAUCUACCUUUUAGUGGGGAAUAACCCUGGGAAACCGGGGCUAAUACCGCAUAAUCCUGUGAAGGGAAAGCAGCAAUGCGCUGAAAGAGGAGUCCGCGGCCGAUUAGCUAGUUGGUGAGGUAAUGGCUCACCAAGGCGGUGAUCGGUAGCCGGCCUGAGAGGGCACACGGCCACACUGGCACUGAAACACGGGCCAGACUCCUACGGGAGGCAGCAGUGGGGAAUCUUGCACAAUGGAGGCAACUCUGAUGCAGCGACGCCGCGUGAGCGAUGAAGCCCCUCGGGGUGUAAAGCUCUUUCGGCAGGGACGAUAAUGACGGUACCUGAAGAAGAAGCUGCGGCUAACUACGUGCCAGCAGCCGCGGUAAUACGUAGGCAGCGAGCGUUGUUCGGAAUUACUGGGCGUAAAGAGUGUGUAGGCGGUGCUCUAAGUUCGGUGUGAAAUCUCCUGGCUUAACUGGGAGGGUGCGCCGGAAACUGGAGUGCUCGAACGUGGGAGAGGAAAGCGGAAUUCCUGGUGUAGCGGUGAAAUGCGUAGAUAUCAGGAGGAACACCUGCGGUGUAGACGGCUUUCUGGACCAUUGUUGACGCUGAGACACGAAAGCGUGGGUAGCAAACAGGAUUAGAUACCCCCGUAGUCC